rnacentral:misc_RNA from 1 species
GCCUUGGGGUUGUCUGUGAAAAGACUCUCGAUGAAUAGUCAACAAAAGACCUUGGAAUUGAAAUCUUGAUUUUCUUGAAGACGGGAGAAACAGAUUGUCUUCAAAACACGAAGGACCGACUCCAAAAAUACUAUGUGUCUAAGCCCUAAAUCUAUCAAUGUUUAGGCCCCGUGUUUGACAACAAGAUAGAAUUGGGGCAUUUUUUUUUUUUGACGAUAUUGAUUUUCUCAUGGUGCAGGUACUUCAUUCAGCCUAUAGAGAAAUAGUUUGACAGGAAACAUACAUUUGUCUACAUGGCCCAUAAAAGAGAGGACGAGUGAACGUGGCCAGCUU